UACGUAGGUGGCAAGCGUUGUCCGGAGUUAUGGGGCGUAAAGCGCGCGCCGGCGGUUAUGUAAGUCUGAUGUUAAAGCCCGGGGCUCAACCUCGGUUCGCAUUGGAAACUGUGUAACUUGAGUGCAGAAGAGGAAAGUGGUAUUCCACGUGUAGCGGUGAAAUGCGUAGAUAUGUGGAGGAACACCAGUGGCGAAGGCGCCUUUCUGGUCUGUAACUGACGCUGAGGCGCGAAAGCGUGGGGAGCAAACAGG
rnacentral:rRNA from 1 species